rnacentral:rRNA from 1 species
AUUGAACGCUGGCGGCAUGCCUUACACAUGCAAGUCGAACGGCAGCACGGGAGCAAUCCUGGUGGCGAGUGGCGAACGGGUGAGUAAUAUAUCGGAACGUGCCCAGUAGUGGGGGAUAACUGCUCGAAAGAGCAGCUAAUACCGCAUACGACCUGAGGGUGAACGGGGGGGAUCGCAAGACCUCCCGCUAUUGGAGCGGCCGAUAUCAGAUGAGCGAGUUGGUGGGGUAAAGGCCUACCAAGGCAACGAUCUGUAGUUGGUCUGAGAGGACGACCAGCCACACUGGGACUGAGACACGGCCCAGACUCCUACGGGAGGCAGCAGUGAGGAAUCUUGCGCAAUGGGGGCAACCCUGACGCAGCAACGCCGCGUGAGUGAGGAAGGUCUUCGGAUCGUAAAGCUCUGUCGGAUGGAAAGAACCGCAUAGGGGUAAACAGCCCCUGUGUCUGACGGUACCAUCAAAGGAAGCACCGGCUAACUCCGUGCCAGCAGCCGCCGUAACAC